GAUGAACGCUAGCUACAGGCUUAACACAUGCAAGUCGAGGGGAAACGCCAUCGAAAGCUUGCUUUUGAUGGGCGUCGACCGGCGCACGGGUGAGUAACGCGUAUCCAACCUGCCCACCACUUGGGGAUAACCUUGCGAAAGUAAGACUAAUACCCAAUGAUAUCUCUAGAAGACAUCUGAAAGAGAUCAAAGAUUUAUCGGUGAUGGAUGGGGAUGCGUCUGAUUAGCUUGUUGGCGGGGUAACGGCCCACCAAGGCAACGAUCAGUAGGGGUUCUGAGAGGAAGGUCCCCCACAUUGGAACUGAGACACGGUCCAAACUCCUACGGGAGGCAGCAGUGAGGAAGAUUGGUCAAUGGACGAGAGUCUGAACCAGCCAAGUAGCGUGCAGGAAGGCGGCGCUAUGGGUUGUAAACUGCUUUUAUAAGGGAACAAAGUGAGUCUCGUGAGACUUUUUGCAGGUACCUUAUGAAUAAGGACCGGCUAAUUCCGUG
rnacentral:rRNA from 1 species